CAGUCGUACCUUCGGGUAAUCAGCCUUUCGGGUGCGAUUCUGUGGAGUUUGAGGAGCUUAACACCUUCAUGCUUUGCAUAUUCGUGCUCUUGGGUGUACUUGCUCGUAUGGUUGGUUAACAUCAAUUUUGGUGAUCAUAAAAUGACUGGAGGAAUGUAGCUUCGAUCUCGUAUUGAAGUGUUAUAGCCUUCGGUAGAUGUGAUGAUUGAGAUUGAGGAUUGCAACGGAUACCCUUCGGGGCUACCUGUCUGAUCUCUGAUCGUUGCUCUGGUGCCGAAAGCUUGCUUACGGUUGUCAAAGUCGAUGGUCAAUAGGUUAGAAUGGGUUAAA
rnacentral:rRNA from 1 species